GUGAGGAAUAUUGGUCAAUGGACGGAAGUCUGAACCAGCCAUGCCGCGUGCAGGAAUAAGGUCCUAUGGAUUGUAAACUGCUUUUAUUCGGGAAUAAACCUCUUUACGUGUAGGGAGCUGAAGGUACCGAAGGAAUAAGCACCGGCUAACUCCGUGCCAGCAGCCGCGGUAAUACGGAGGGUGCAAGCGUUAUCCGGAAUCAUUGGGUUUAAAGGGUCCGCAGGCGGGCUAUCAAGUCAGAGGUGAAAUCCCACAGCUUAACUGUGGAACUGCCUUUGAAACUGAUGGUCUUGAAUUAAGUGGGCGUUGGCGGAAUAUGACAUGUAGCGGUGAAAUGCAUAGAUAUGUCAUGGAACACCGAAAGCGAAGGCAGCUAACGAUACUUAUAUUGACGCUCAUGGACGAAAGCGUGGGUAGCGAACAGGAUUAGAAACCCGAGUAGUCC
rnacentral:rRNA from 1 species